rnacentral:rRNA from 1 species
CCUCGCUUUAUUGCCAUCAUUUAGUUGGGUACUCUAAAGGAACCGCCGGUGAUAAGCCGGAGGAAGGUGGGGAUGACGUCAAUUCCUCAUGGCCCUUACGCGUUGGGCUACACACGUGCUACAAUGGCGACUACAGUGGGCAGCCACCUCGCGAGAGGGAGCUAAUCUCCAAAAGUCGUCUCAGUUCGGAUCGUUCUCUGCAACUCGAGAGCGUGAAGGCGGAAUCGCUAGUAAUCGCGGAUCAGCAUGCCGCGGUGAAUACGUUCCCAGGCCUUGUACACACCGCCCGUCACACCAUGGGAGUUGGAUUCACUCGAAGGCGUUGAGCUAACCGCAAGGAGGCAGGCGACCACAGUGGGUUUAGCGACUGGGGUGAANUCGUAACAAGGUANCCGUAGGGGAACCUGCGGCUGGAUCACCU